rnacentral:lncRNA from 1 species
UUCCAAUUUUUUUUUUUUUUUUUUUUUUGCUUUUCUCUCGGGGCGCGUGCGGUCCGGGGCUGCGCGCGCGUGUCCAAGAGCCCGGCGCCAGCGGCGUGCGGGAGACGGCGGGACGAUGCUGACCUAAGCCCCCGGAGCCGCCCGGCGCUGGCUGCUUGGCUGCAGGAGGCGGCGGCGGCGGCGGCCGAGCAGGAGGACGCGCCGUGUCCGGCCGGCGAGCCGCGGCGCUGCCUCCCGUGCGCACCGCGCGGCCGGCCUCGGCCCUCCCCGGCCGGGGUCGCCGCUGCCCCGCGCUCCUCGCCCCGCGCGGCCCCCGCGCGCUCGGCCCGCCCCCGGGGCGCGCUCGCAGACCGAGGUAAGAGCCGCGGGAGCGAACCUGGCCGCCUCCGUGCCGGGCCCCGGGGACCUGUUUGCGCCGCGCCUCCCGCCCGGGCUGGCCGCUGGGGGUGCGGGGGAGCUCGGUGCGGGUGCGCCUCGGGCCCCGCGCGCCUCCCGCCGAGACUCCGGCCCCGUCCGUCCGUCCGUCCGGCCUCGCCUUCCGCAGGCUGCGUGCAGGGGCGCGGGGGACUGACCGUGGGCUCUGCCUUGGGGGGUUUCCGGGAAGCUUGGGUCGGAGGGGGCCGCUCGCCCUUUUUGCAGCCCGUCCCGGGAGGGGGGCUCGGGGUGCGGAGCCCGCGCCCCGCGCCCCCGCGCCCCCUCGCCCCGGCCGCAGACCUGUCCCGGGCUGUAAGUGGAGCGGGGAGGCCGGGCGCCAGCUCCAGGGGGGCGGCUGGGGCGAGUUGUCGCGGGCCCUUGUUUUCUCCCGUCGGUGGGGAGGUGGUGCGGAGAGGCGAGGAUGACAGCAAAGCGCAGCCAGAUGUGGCCAGGCCGGCGCGGGGGCUGGCAACGAUUAGGGGGGCCCCGCGGGGCGGGGGGGCGCAGAGACUCUCCCGGACCCGCAGUGAGAGGGCAGCAGCGGGCCGCGCUGGGCCUGCGGGAGAAGUUCCCGGCCGUGGGCUCCUGGGGCGGCUGCGGGGCUGGGGACCUCGGGGAGCCCGGUUUGUAGGUUGGGGGUGCCGGGCGCGGGUGCACCGGGGGGGUGCGUGGGGGGGGCGGCGGGAGAAGGCGUGG